rnacentral:rRNA from 1 species
AGUUGAAGAGCUUGCUCUUUGACCAAGUGAGUGGCGGACGGGUGAGUAACACGUGGGUAACCUGCCCAUUAGAGGGGGAUAACAUUCGGAAACGGAUGCUAAUACCGCAUAGUUUCAGGAAUCGCAUGAUUCUUGAAGGAAAGGUGGCUUCGGCUACCACUAAUGGAUGGACCCGCGGCGUAUUAGCUAGUUGGUGAGGUAAAGGCUCACCAAGGCAAUGAUACGUAGCCGACCUGAGAGGGUGAUCGGCCACACCGGGACUGAGACACGGCCCAGACUCCUACGGGAGGCAGCAGUAGGGAAUCUUCCGCAAUGGACGAAAGUCUGACGGAGCAACGCCGCGUGAGUGAAGAAGGUUUUCGGAUCGUAAAACUCUGUUGUUAAAGAAGAACAAGGAUGAGAGUAACUGCUCAUCCCCUGACGGUAUUUAACCAGAAAGCCACGGCUAACUACGUGCCAGCAGCCGCGGUAAUACGUAGGUGGCAAGCGUUGUCCGGAUUUAUUGGGCGUAAAGCGAGCGCAGGCGGUUCUUUAAGUCUGAUGUGAAAGCCCCCGGCUCAACCGGGGAGGGUCAUUGGAAACUGGAGAACUUGAGUGCAGAAGAGGAGAGUGGAAUUCCACGUGUAGCGGUGAAAUGCGUAGAUAUGUGGAGGAACACCAGUGGCGAAGGCGACUCUCUGGUCUGUAACUGACGCUGAGGCUCGAAAGCGUGGGGAGCAAACAGGAUUAGGUACCCUGGUAGUCCACGCCGUAAACGAUGAGUGCUAAGUGUUGGAGGGUUUCCGCCCUUCAGUGCUGCAGCUAACGCAUUAAGCACUCCGCCUGGGGAGUACGGCCGCAAGGCUGAAACUCAAAGGAAUGACG